CCUAAUACAUGCAAGUCGAGCGAACAGACGAGGAGCUUGCUCCUCUGACGUUAGCGGCGGACGGGUGAGUAACACGUGGAUAACCUACCUAUAAGACUGGGAUAACUUCGGGAAACCGGAGCUAAUACCGGAUAAUAUAUUGAACCGCAUGGUUCAAUAGUGAAAGACGGUUUUGCUGUCACUUAUAGAUGGAUCCGCGCCGCAUUAGCUAGUUGGUAAGGUAACGGCUUACCAAGGCAACGAUGCGUAGCCGACCUGAGAGGGUGAUCGGCCACACUGGAACUGAGACACGGUCCAGACUCCUACGGGAGGCAGCAGUAGGGAAUCUUCCGCAAUGGGCGAAAGCCUGACGGAGCAACGCCGCGUGAGUGAUGAAGGUCUUCGGAUCGUAAAACUCUGUUAUUAGGGAAGAACAAAUGUGUAAGUAACUAUGCACGUCUUGACGGUACCUAAUCAGAAAGCCACGGCUAACUACGUGCCAGCAGCCGCGGUAAUACGUAGGUGGCAAGCGUUAUCCGGAAUUAUUGGGCGUAAAGCGCGCGUAGGCGGUUUUUUAAGUCUGAUGUGAAAGCCCACGGCUCAACCGUGGAGGGUCAUUGGAAACUGGAAAACUUGAGUGCAGAAGAGGAAAGUGGAAUUCCAUGUGUAGCGGUGAAAUGCGCAGAGAUAUGGAGGAACACCAGUGGCGAAGGCGACUUUCUGGUCUGUAACUGACGCUGAUGUGCGAAAGCGUGGGGAUCAAACAGGAUUAGAUACCCUGGUAGUCCACGCCGUAAACGAUGAGUGCUAAGUGUUA
rnacentral:rRNA from 1 species